AUUAUCACAGUCACACGUUUGCAGUGAACUUAGCUUGAAAAUAAUACAAAAAUGUUAUAUAUUUUGGAUUAUUUUGAAAAAUGAAACUACUUGGCGGACUCUUCCUGAUUCUUGGACACCAGCAAGUUAUCUCAACACUUCCUUCUAGAUCUUCUGGAUAUCAGAUGGUCACUGGGAUUGCGGCGUAUCACUAGCAUAUAACAUUGAUUUCAAAUAAAGAAUCAAAAAACUCGAA